CACGCCGUAAACGAUGAGUGCUAGGUGUUGGGGGUCAAACCUCGGUGCCGCAGCUAACGCAUUAAGCACUCCGCCUGGGGAGUACGUACGCAAGUAUGAAACUCAAAGGAAUUGACGGGGACCCGCACAAGCAGCGGAGCAUGUGGUUUAAUUCGAAGCAACGCGAAGAACCUUACCAGGGCUUGACAUGCCCCUGACCGUCCCAGAGAUGGGAUUUUACCUUCGGGUACAGGGGACACAGGUGG
rnacentral:rRNA from 1 species